UACGUAGGGUGCAAGCGUUGUCCGGAAUUAUUGGGCGUAAAGAGCUCGUAGGCGGUUUGUCGCGUCUGGUGUGAAAAUCCAGGGCUUAACCCUGGACCUGCAUCGGGUACGGGCAGACUAGAGUGCGGUAGGGGAGAUCGGAAUUCCUGGUGUAGCGGUGAAAUGCGCAGAUAUCUGGAGGAACACCGGUGGCGAAGGCGGCAUCCUGGACCGGUAUUGACGCUGAGGCGCGAAAGCUAGGGGAGCAAACGGG
rnacentral:rRNA from 1 species